CGCACAUCAGUGGUAACUGUCCUGCACCUUAACUCAAUAGUAAUAAGUACGAUUUUCCUAUAAAACUGUUACCACUGACCUGAAGCUGACUGUACCAUAAGUAUUAUAAUUGAAUUAUAAUAUGCAUUCAUAUAAAUUACGUGAUUUGGCAAUACAUUUUACACUUACCUAAAGAAUUACACUAAAAGAAAUUUUCAUCUGGUAACACACUUAGCAGCCUUCUUACUGCAAGUAAUUUUUCAGCUGAUUUGUGAAGCUGCAGGAAUUUAUUUAUGGCAGUCUAACUGCAGUACUCAAAUUGGCUGAUCUUAAUAACUCUAGUUUUCAGGCUUCUAAGUGUGUUACUAGCCUUAAGUUAAAAGCUUAGCAAUACAUUUAAGUUAUAUUUGCCUUUAUAAAAGCUAAGGGUGUUCAUAUUGUACACGUAGAUACACUCUAAAUUAAUAAAAUAUUAUAUUUACAGUAAAAAUGUAAUUUCAAAUUAGCAACGCAAAAUGAUGCCAACAUUUAUCAGGCACGUAUCUUAUGACUGUAACGGUUAUUAAAUACUUACUCAUAUAAUUAAUAAUAAAAUGUGUUGCCAAAUUAUACAUUUAUAAAAAUACCCAAUAAAAUAAAAAUAAACCUACAUUUAAGUACCUAACAAUGAAAUAAAUAUUCAAUAAACGGCCGAUUGAUUACGCGUGCUCCAUUUCAAAAUGGCGACCGCAACGCGAAAUAAUACGUGUAUAGAUUGUAAAUAUAUGAUUAAAUAAAACGUUAUGUAAUA